rnacentral:rRNA from 1 species
GACGAACGCUGGCGGCGGGCUUAACACAUGCAAGUCGAGCGGAGCGGCGGACGGGCGAGUAAUGCCUGGGAAUCUGCCCGGUCGUGGGGGAUAACGUACGGAAACGGGCGCUGAUAUCGUAUACUUUUCGAUGAGACUAGGGCGGAUUAGCUAGUUGGUGGGGUAGAGGCCUACCAAGGCGACGAACCGUGACUGGUCUGAGAGGAAGAUGAGGCACACUGGCACGGAGACGGGGACCAGACUGAGACGGAAGGCAGCAGUGGGGAAGGUUGGACAAUGGGCGAAAGCCUGAUCCAGACAUGCCGCGUGUGUGAAGAAGGUCUUCGGAUUGUAAAGCAGAUUAAGUUGCGAGAGGUUACCAACAGAAUAAGCACCGGCUAACGGCGUGCCAGCAGCCGCGGAUAC